CCUACGGGUGGCAGCAGUGAGGAAUAUUGGUCAAUGGGCGGGAGCCUGAACCAGCCAAGUCGCGUGAGGGAAGACGGUCCUACGGAUUGUAAACCUCUUUUGCCGGGGAGCAACGGGGUCCUUGCGAGUGCCCAAUGAGAGUACCCGGAGAAAAAGCAUCGGCUAACUCCUUGCCAGCAGCCGCGGUAAUACGGAGGAUGCUAGCGUUAUCCGGAUUGUUGGGGUUUAAAGGGUGCGUAGGCGGCCUGUUAGGUCAGCGGUCAAGUGUCGGGGUUCAACCCCGGCCUGCCGUUGAAACUGGCGGCCUGGAGUGGGCGAGAGGUAUGCGGAAUGCGUGGUGUAGCGGUGAAAUGCAUAGAUAUCACGAAGAACUCCGAUUGCGAAGGCAGCAUACCGGCGCCCUACUGACGCUGAGGCACGAAAGCGUGGGUAUCGAACAGGAUUAGAUACCCCAGUAGUC
rnacentral:rRNA from 1 species